rnacentral:rRNA from 1 species
GAUGAACGCUGGCGGCGUGCUUAACACAUGCAAGUCGAACGGAAAGGCUCCUGCUUGCAGGGGUACUCGAGUGGCGAACGGGUGAGUAACACGUGGGUGAUCUGCCCAGCACUUCGGGAUAAGCCUGGGAAACUGGGUCUAAUACCGGAUAGGACGAUGGUUUGGAUGCCAUUGUGGAAAGUUUUUUCGGUGUGGGAUGAGCUCGCGGCCUAUCAGCUUGUUGGUGGGGUAAUGGCCUACCAAGGCGUCGACGGGUAGCCGGCCUGAGAGGGUGUACGGCCACAUUGGGACUGAGAUACGGCCCAGACUCCUACGGGAGGCAGCGGUGGGGAAUAUUGCACAAUGGGCGCAAGCCUGAUGCAGCGACGCCGCGUGGGGGAUGACGGCCUUCGGGUUGUAAACUCCUUUCGCUAGGGACGAAGCGCAAGUGACGGUACCUGGAGAAGAAGCACCGGCUAACUACGUG